UACUGUUCAAGGCUGAUUGCUAUCACAAAAUGGAUGGAUUAUUAACUCUCACUCGCUCACAUACUAUACACACACACACAUACAUAUACACUAUUCAUACAAAAGUUGGACUUUCCAUUCAAAUAAAUCUGUUUCAAUAAACCCGAAAUGAAUCACUUUCCGAAACGCAUUGAAAAUAUACGACAUAUAUUUGUCAUAUUCAUUGAAAAGAAAUUCAUUUACAAAUAUGUACAUAAUGUAUAAUGUAUAUAUAUAUAAAUAUAUAUACGUAUAUAUGUACAUAUAUGGUUUAAGACAGAUUAGGGCAGGCACAACAAUGGACAACAACAAUGGGAACGAAACUCAGAAACGCAGACGUCACAAACUGAUAAGCAACAGCAGCAGCAAUGAGUGAGCGAGAAAGCGAGAAGCAGACAAGGAACAAGAGAGACAGAGUCGGGUCUGUACUUCUUCUUGUUGUUAGGAUUUCGGAAAAUUUUCCGAAUUGAUAAGAGCAUUUUUAAAUACAUUUUGCGAGCGAUCCCUAGCAUCAGAUAGUAUGCUAUAUAUGCUAUAUAUAAAUACAAUAUGUUUACAACAAAAUUCCCAAAAUGCACUCAACAACGUCUGGAAUUCGAUAUAUGAUAUGAGUACGACUUUGAAUACGACGAACAUUAAAGAAUCACUCCAAUUAUGAUUUAUCUAUAAGAAUUUCGCUGGAAUCUAGAAUCACAAAAAGUUGAAUGGAAUCACGUGACUAACUGAAAUGACGAAACUCAUUCAAGAAUAGAUCAACAAUAUGAUAUUGUAUCGAACAUAUCAAUCUUAUCAUUCCAUGCAAACAACGUCAAAUUGUUUUGCCAUAUCAGAUCUAUGUUUUCAUUUCUGUUUCUGUGGCAUUUUUUUUUCGGUCUAUUUUUAAAAUUCCAGUUUAAUGACUGUACUGUAUAAUAGUCGUAACUUCCAGUUGAGGAGGGGAGGAAAUGGAAAAUUUGCCAAUGAAAGAGAAAAUAAAAGAAAAGUAUUUGAAUUGGGCAUUGCAUGUGAAUGCGAAUGCGAAUGUAAUAUGCAUAUGACUCAGCGGCCAUUUGCAGCAGCGAGUGCCGACUCACUUUGUUGUUCUCGUCCCCUUGACCUUCAGUUGUUGUUGUGGCGCAAGGGAAACAAACAAAGUUUCACCAACCUCUCUCUCUCUCUCUCGCUCUAUCCCAACUACCAUAUAUAUCAUCCAUAGUAUCCACAUCUACCACCCACUAAUCACUCUCCAGCCCUUAUCAUUCUCCAGCCCUGGCCACCUUCAUUCCACUCACACACACAUGUACACACGCAUACAAUUUCCGUUCACUAAUUACACAAACAAAUAGCAAAGAAGCAAGUGAAUAAAGAACAAAAAUAAAUAUAAUACACAAUAAACAAAACAGACGCCAAAAUGGCAGGCAAAUUGAACAAUAGAAACCAAAUGGAAUUUAUCUACAUAUAUGUGUGUAUAUUCAUUAUGCUUCUUCUUCUUCUUAUUGAACAUUCGAAUAUGGAAGAAAGCCGACUCUAAUGAUUGAAAAUCAAUGAAAAUAAUAAUGUAAUUAGAAUUUCGUAGUGGGAAUUGCAUUAAA